UAUAAUUUAGUGUAUGGUGCACAUAGGCCUUUGAAGCCAAUAGAUUGAGCUCAAAUCUCACAAUUAUAA
rnacentral:tRNA from 1 species